rnacentral:rRNA from 1 species
AUUGAACGCUGGCGGCAAGCCUAACACAUGCAAGUCGAACGAGUGGCGGACGGGUGAGUAAUGUCUGGGAACCUGCCUGAUGGAGGGGGAUAACUACUGGAAACGGUAGCUAAUACCGCUAAACAUCGGUUGUGCCCAGAUGGGAUUAGCUAGUGGGUGGGGUAAAGGCUCACCUAGGCGACGAUCCCUAGCUGGUCUGAGAGGCUGACCAGCCACACUGGAACUGAGACACGGUCCAGACUCCUACGGGAGGCAGCAGUGGGGAAUAUUGCACAAUGGGCGCAAGCCUGAUGCAGCCAUGCCGCGUGUAUGAAGAAGGCCUUCGGGUUGUAAAGUACUUUCAGCGGGGAGGCGUUACCCGCAGAAGAAGCACCGGCUAACUCCGUGCCAGCAGCCGCGGUAAUAC